CAAGGUGCCUAUACCCGAGCAAAUACACCUAAUCUCAUCUGAACAUGGAAGCUAAGCAGUCCUGGGCUGGGUUCAUAGUUGGAUAGGAGGCUCCCGUGCAUCUCCAACACCUGGG
rfam:Alligator mississippiensis ScZkoYb_141, whole genome shotgun sequence.